rnacentral:lncRNA from 1 species
UGGGCGAGAGUGCCCAUUAUUGAAAAAAGAAAGAAUUAUUGUGGGCGAGAAGUGUGCACCUAAUAAACCCACUGAAUCAAGAAAUCUCCGGGGCAAGGAGCAUUCUCCAUCCAAUCCAACCCGUAAGCAUUUCCUCCCCCGGCCACUGCUUUCCCGUCUCCUACUUCCUGACCCAUUAUCAGUUCACCAUCGUAUAGCCGCGCGCGCUAGUUCGUCACACUCAUCUCGUGGGGGCUGUUCCAAUUCUUACCCACCAAUUUCACCUCGCACCAGUAGGGAUCUGUCACAGGACCGCAUAAUUUACUCCACUCUAUAUGAGUGAGUGAUCCCACGGCGCUGGAGUGCGUGCGGGGGUUGUAAUCUGCUGGUAUUUGUGUGUGCACACGACCUGUUCGAUGAUUUGCCCGUUUAUGAGUGUGCGCCGCCAGUGCCACCUGCGCAUGCCCAAUUUCCGCGAUGCUGGAAAAGCCAUGUCAGUGGCAGCUUUGCAAGAUCUUUGUUUUGCACUCACGUUAAGUUGUUUCCUUCUGCCUUGUCUAACCAGCAAAUAUGGUAAAACUCGUUUAUGCAGGUGGAUAUGUUAUGUAAGUUGGGGGCGGCCGCCGUACAUUUUACCGCGAGAACAAGGACGUCUUCACCCUGUCUACUAUGGCACUUCUAUAAUUAUGUUAAACCUUGUUUUAGUUCUCCUCCAUACCAUGAAUUAUCUGGUCCAUACAGUUAAGAGUAUUUCAUAGAGGAACUGCCGUCACCUUAUUAUAGAAUCAUUGAGCAUGGUUUAGUUCACCAAAUCGUUCAUGUGGUAUAAUAUUUUUGCUUAUUAUUUUUCAUAAUUUAUUCAAUGAUCUUCCUCACUUGCCUGAGAUGUAACUACUAUGCAUGUUGACCAUAAUCAAUAAGAAUGGUUUACUCGACAGGAACCAUCAACAGGAGAUUAAUUGAAAUCACUUGAAAAUUAAUUGCAGAUUGUAG